rnacentral:rRNA from 1 species
GUUAAAAAGCUCGUAGUUGGAGUUCUGCCAGGUGCCGUCUGUCCGCCCCAGUGGUGAGUACGUGACGCGCAUUUGGCCCUUUCAAGGGGAGCGUAUCCGCACUUUACUGUGUGGUGCGGGAUCCUUGACUUUUACUUUGAGGAAAUAGGAGUGUUCCAAGCAGGCUCUCGUCGUGCACAGCUCAGCAUGGAAUAAUAGCAUUGGACCUCGAUUCUAAGCUGUUGGUUGCCAGAAGCGAGGUAAUGAUGAAGAGGGAUAGUUGGGGGCAUUCGUAUUUAACUGCCAGAGGUGAAAUUCUUGGAUUUGUUAAAGACGGACUACUGCGAAAGCAUCUGCCAUGGAUGUUUUCAUUGAUCAAGAACGAAAGUUAGGGGAUCGAAGACGAUCAGAUACCGUCCUAGUCUUAACUAUAAACCAUGCCGGCUAGAGAUCGGAGGUUGUUCGUUUUGUGACGCCUUCAGCAUCUUGAGAGAAAUCAAAGCCUUUGGGUUCCGGGGGGAGUAUGGUCGCAAGGCUGAAACUUAAAGGAAUUGACGGAAGGGCACCACCAGGAGUGGAGCCUGCGGCUUAAUUUGACUCAACACGGGGAAACUUACCAGGUCCAGACUGGGUAAGGAUGUACAGAUUGAUAGCUCUUUACAGAUUCUCAGGGUGGUGGUGCAUGGCCGUUCUUAGUUGGUGGAGUGAUUUGUCUGGUUAAUUCCGUUAA